rnacentral:rRNA from 1 species
UACGAAGGGUGCAAGCGUUACUCGGAAUUACUGGGCGUAAAGCGUGCGUAGGCGGUUUGUUAAGUCCGUUGUGAAAGCCCUGGGCUCAACCUGGGAAUUGCAGUGGAUACUGGCGAGCUAGAGUGCGGUAGAAGAUGGUGGAAUUCCCGGUGUAGCGGUGAAAUGCGUAGAGAUCGGGAGGAACACCCGUGGCGAAGGCGGCCAUCUGGACCAGCACUGACGCUGAGGCACGAAAGCGUGGGGAGCAAACAGG